rnacentral:lncRNA from 1 species
AUCCGGAGCCAAGGUCCGCUCGGUAUCUUAAAUAGUGAAGAUGGAGAAAUAGUCAAUAAUGAAGAGCAUGAAUAUGCAUCCAAAAAAAGGAAAAAGGACCAUUUUAGAAAUGACACAAAUACUCAAAAGGCAUGGCUAUUGCACCUUGGGAGAAGCCUUUAAUCGGUUAGACUUCUCAAGUGCAAUUCAAGAUAUCCGAAGGUUCAAUUAUGUGGUCAAACUGCAGGACAAGUUCGAGCAUCUUAAAAUGAUUCAACAGGAGGAGAUAAGGAAGCUCGAGGAAGAGAAAAAACAACUGGAAGGAGAAAUCAUAGAUUUUUAUAAAAUGAAAGCUGCCUCUGAAGCACUGCAGACUCAGCUGAGCACCGAUACAAAGAAAGACAAACAUCUAACAAUUUGGACAAGACAGCAAAUGCUAUUGUCCAAGUUUUCUAAAGAAGAAUCUGAAGUGAAAUGACAUCAAGAGACCUAUCAAGACCUGUAUCCAGGAAAAGACCAAACCAAUGCAGACCAAACCAAUGCAGAACUCCUAUGUGCUGAUGGUGGUCUUACAUUUCCCUAAGUUUCUGCCGACUAAACUGUGCACACGUUCUCAGGACCUCCUGAAGCUGCGUCACAGGCACUAAUCAAAGAACACAACCAAGAGUUUGGCCUUUUCUUCAGCACUGGGAAUUGUGAUCCAAAGCUUUUCCCGAUGAAGCACAAAGUUGGAGAAAAAAAAACGCAAACUAAACAACCACAAUGAAACAGAACAGAGUUAAUCUGCUGUAGCUCAAGAGAGGAUGUACCUGCCCCCACCCCGCAUCCCUGGGCUCGGGUUUGCCUUGCUGACCUCUGCUGCCACCUGGUGCCA